UACGAGGGGGGCGAGCGUUGUUCGGAAUUAUUGGGCGUAAAGGGUGCGUAGGCGGUUUGGUAAGUCUGAUGUGAAAUCUAUGGGCUCAACUCAUAGUCUGCAUCGGAAACUGCCGGGCUUGAGUGUGGGAGAGGUGAGUGGAAUUCCUGGUGUAGCGGUGAAAUGCGUAGAUAUCAGGAGGAACACCUGUGGCGAAAGCGGCUCACUGGACCGAUAACUGACGCUGAUGCACGAAAGCUAGGGGAGCAAACAGG
rnacentral:rRNA from 1 species